CAGACUCAAUCAUUCCUCUGUAGAACUCCGUAGAUGCUGAAGUAGAAGCUUACUAAACUUGAAAUUAGAUCCCCACCUCUUCCUUGUGUUAUACUAUAGGACUGUCACUUCCUCCCCCUCCUCUCUAGUUGCGGAUGGUGCCUCUGCCCUAUCAAAAGUGAGGUGGCCCAAGGAGCGAAAAGUUGCUUCUGCAUCCCAGGAAGCAAGAGAGGGAACUGCACUCCCUACUAGGGAAGUCAGGAAAAAAAAUUGGGGAGGUGGGGGGGAGGAGGAAGAGAGAAGAUCCCCUUCUCUCAUUCCGCCGCGACCUCCGCAGCGUUCAAGCUACCUUUCUCUCUCACAGAGAAGGAGAGGAGGAGAGAGAGCGAGCGAGCGAGCAGGAAAACAGUCGUACUGGUUGCCGAGCUUCUGGGUCAGGAUUGGAGGAUUUAUCCCAAAGACGGAUCGAUCAUCUGGGGUGGGCUGGGGUGGGCUGGGGGAAGAGUUCAAACGGCAGCCAAGCGAGAAGCCAACCCAGCCAGGCACAAGCUACACAACUGGGUUGCGUUUGCAACUUUUCCUCCAAGCCCGCCUUCCUCCGCCGUAAACCGGGAUGGCUUCCAAUUUUAACGAUAUAGUAAAGCAAGGGUACGUCAAGAUUAGGAGCAGACGUUUGGGCAUUUAUCAGAGAUGUUGGCUAGUCUUCAAGAAAGCAUCCAGCAAAGGGCCCAGAAGAAUGGAGAAAUUUUCAGAUGAGCGUGCUGCAUACUUCAGAUGUUAUCACAAGGUUACAGAACUUAAUCAUGUGAAGAAUAUAUUGCGGUUGCCAAAAGGCACAAGGAAACAUGCUGUAGGGAUAUAUUUUAACGACGACACAUCCAGAACUUUUGCUUGUGAAUCAGAACUCGAAGCAGAUGAAUGGUGCAAAGUCCUUCAAAUUGAGUGCCUGGGGACUCAGAUUAAUGAUAUUAGCCUCGGAGAACCUGACCUGUUGGCUUCUGGUGUAGAAAGGGAACAGAAUGAGAGAUUCCAUGUGUAUUUGAUGCCGUCACCUAAUUUAGAUGUACACGGGGAAUGUACCUUGCAGAUAACAUUUGAAAAUAUCUGUCUUUGGGACAUACAGAAUCCCAGAAUAAAACUCGUAUCUUGGCCUUUAAGUGCCCUCCGGAGAUAUGGGAGGGACUCAACCUGGUUUACAUUUGAAGCUGGAAGGAUGUGUGAUACUGGGGAAGGCCUAUUCAUCUUCCAGACAAGAGAUGGGGAGGCAAUCUAUCAGAAAGUCCACUCAGCUGCCUUGACCAUAGCAGAACAGCACGACCACUUACUGCAGAAUGUGAAAACCUCGAUGCUUCAAAUGAAAAUGACUGACCGAGCUGUUUCUCUUGGCACCAUGGUCCCUUUGCCCAGGAGUGCCUAUUGGCAGCACAUCACACGGCAGCACAGUACCGGACAGCUCUUUGGCUUACAAGAAACCUCUGGGUGAGGGCAAAGUGAAGGAGGUUUGGAUUGGCAUUUCAACACCUCAAGCAAAUGGAAUGGAUAACAAUAUCCAUAAAAAUCUGAACAUUAGAAUGAAGGAAAAAAAAUACUUUUCUUUGUCAUGAUGCUUUUGGGCAUCUCAAAUCAUCAUUUUAAUGAUAGCCCACUGAAGAUCCACAGAACAGAAACCUUUCCCACUUAUCGGUCAGAACAUUGAUAAAAUGGAGCCAAGGACUUUAACAAGCUGUGUGUGUAUGUAUUGAGAUGGACUGAUCCAACACCAAGGCUUGCAACUGAGCUGGACGACAAUAACGAAGCAGAUGAAAGGAGGAAAGACUGGAUUAUAACUGCUAGAUUAUUUCUUAAUUUUCAGGAGAAGAGGAAGACUGGCUUGAAAAUUAUCAUUUGUAAUUUGCAAUGUUUCAUAAUCACAUCUGGAACAAAGAAACUUUAUUUCGGUAUGGGCUUCUUAUAUAGUUAAUCUCUGCUGUUGAUUUGUCCUUUGCUAUCAGUUGUUCGACAUUUAGUUCAUCCAUUUUGGUGAUUUCUUGAAUAAUGUAGUUUACGGUUUUAUUUUCUUGCUCCAACACUGACUGUAACACUUUUCCAAUUUUAAGACUGGUUGCUUAUUUUUAGGAACUGGAAUCAGUUGUCUCCCUGUCUAUUAAAGUCUGGUUUUGUCUCA